rnacentral:rRNA from 1 species
AGAGAAUAGAUACCCAGGUAGUCCACGCCCUAAACUAUGAUCACUCGAUGUUGGCGGUACACUGUCAGCGUCUAAAGGGAAACCAUUAAGUGAUCCACCUGGGGAGUACGGUCGCAAGACUGAAACUCAAAGGAAUUGACGGGGGCCCGCACAAGCGGAGGAGCAUGUGGUUUAAUUCGAUGAUACGCGAGGAACCUUACCUGGGCUUGAAAGUUAGUGAAUCUCCCGGAAACGGGGGUAGGCCGAAAGGACACGAAACUAGGUGCUGCAUGGCUGUCGUCAGCUCGUGCCGUGAGGUGUUGGGUUAAGUCCCGCAACGAGCGCAACCCCGUAUCAUUAGUUGCCAACAGGUAAUGCUGGGGACUCUAAUGAGACUGCCUGCGCAAGCAGUGAGGAAGGUGGGGAUGACGUCAAGUCAUCACGGCCCUUACGUCCAGGGCUACACACGUGCUACAAUGGAUGGUACAACGGGUUGCUACAUGGCAACAUGAUGCUAAUCUCUAAAACCCGAUUCUCAGUUCGGAUUGAGGU